rnacentral:rRNA from 1 species
UCCUGGCUCAGGACGAACGCUGGCGGCGUGCUUAACACAUGCAAGUCGAACGGAGAUUCAGCAAUGGAUCUUAGUGGCGAACGGGUGAGUAACGCGUAGGCAAUCUGCCUUCUAGAUGGGGACAACAUCCCGAAAGGGGUGCUAAUACCGAAUGUUGUAUGAUCUUCGCAUGGAGAUGAUACUAAAGGUGGCCUCUGAAUAUGCUACCGCUAGUAGAUGAGCCUGCGUCUGAUUAGCUAGUUGGAGGGGUAACGGCCCACCAAGGCUUCGAUCAGUAGCCGGUCUGAGAGGAUGAACGGCCACACUGGGACUGAGACACGGCCCAGACUCCUACGGGAGGCAGCAGUGGGGAAUCUUCCGCAAUGGACGAAAGUCUGACGGAGCAACGCCGCGUGAGUGAAGAAGGUUUUCGGAUCGUAAAGCUCUUUCGUUAGGGACGAACGUGCUCUUUGUGAAUAAUGAGGAGUAAUGACGGUACCUAAAUAAGAAGCCACGGCUAACUACGUGCCAGCAGCCGCGGUAAUACGUAGGUGGCAAGCGUUGUCCGGAAUUAUUGGGCGUAAAGCGCGCGCAG